rnacentral:rRNA from 1 species
UACGUAGGGACCAAGCGUUGUUCGGAUUUACUGGGCGUAAAGGGCGCGUAGGCGGCAAUUCAAGUCAUCUGUGAAAUCUCCGGGCUUAACUCGGAAAGGUCAACUGAUACUGUGCGACUAGAGUGCAGAAGGGGCAACUGGAAUUCUCGGUGUAGCGGUGAAAUGCGUAGAUAUCGAGAGGAACACCUGCGGCGAAGGCGGGUUGCUGGGCUGACACUGACGCUGAGGCGCGAAAGCCAGGGGAGCGAACGGG